CGAGCCGGCCAUAGGAUGGCCGGAAACGCCCGGUCUCGUCAGAUCCCGGAAGCUAAGCGGCCAUCCGCCGUGGGGAGUACUGGGGUCUGCGGCCCCGGGAAACCCCGGUGCCGGCUACG
rnacentral:rRNA from 1 species